UUCAUUAGUUGCUAUUCAAUGGCACGCAUGUUUCUUGGUCGCUCCUUCACAAUGUCGCCUCUCCUCUUGCUCUUCCUAGCUCUUUGUACUUUCGACUUGGUUUUCUCCGCGCAUAUCACUCAUGACAUAUCGAAAAGAGGAAACCAGAUGCAUUCACACCGUGUCUGCGAGCGUUCCUACAAUUCGCAGUGGGAGCGGGCCUGCAUCCGUUACGAAUGUACCAGUAGUAAUGAAAUGCGUCCACUUUUCUCAAUGGGGUGUAUGAAGAACCAGGUAUGUGAAGAUAGAAUAUCCUACCUCUUCGGUACUGGCCCAUGCGAGUGUCAAAGGAAAGGCACUUGCUAUGCGGACGGGAGUCAAGAUUACGAAUGUCAAAUGGUGAAUGGGUUCCAUCAGUGGGUGAAAGUGACCAGCUGCGAAGCUGAUGAGUGGUGGAAGUGGCUUUAAAGGGACAACAUGGGGGUAGUAAGGUGGCCAGGAGGAUAUAAAGUACCUAAUCGCCGGUACAUGUAGCUUUACGGCACAAUGCUCAUCUCCGAUAUGGAUUUUCGUGGCCAUGCUACGUCAAAACGGACUACAGAGGUAACAGAGAACUGAGCUCAGGCUUUGUCUGCAGCCGAUGUCUGUGACAUCAUGUGAUAACUAAAGUGGAAAUCCCCAAACAAGUAUGUUACUUUACCCAUCCGCUGUGAGCAAAAUACGUGUUCAUUUGGUGUUUAAAUUAAAUUACAAUUUAAAAAAUAGUACGGCAUAAAAACAUACUGCAAGCAUUGUAAUGUACAUAAUAUCAUGUUCGACUACGACGAUAAAUACGCAAUGAUAACCAAUUUUUGCCCUUUCCUUUUUCCUUUUUUCCUUUCUUUCCACUCUUUCCUUUGUUUCGCUCGACGUGGCCGACUUUCGCCAGUGUUGCAAGCAGUUUUUGGUCAUGGCUUCUUGCGAAGUUUCCCGUAAGUCGACGAGUAAGCUACAUUCCGUUCUCGUGAAUCGACAGUGUUUAUUGCAGUUAAACGAUUUACAAUAAUUCUGCCUCCUGCUGAAAGCCAUUUUUGUAUGAGAAAUCAACAAUAUAUUUCAGACCGGCCCUA